CUAUCGGAGUUCGCCUAAGCCAUGCAAGUCAGGGCAGCUAGUCUGCCCGGCGAACGGCUCAGUAACACGUGGGUAACCUACCCUAGGGUGGGGGAUAACCUCGGGAAACUGAGGGUAAUACCCCAUAGGGGAUGGGUACUGGAAGGUCCCUUCCCUGAAAGCCUUCGGGCGCCCUAGGAUGGGCCUGCGGCGGAUUAGGUAGUUGGUGGGGUAACGGCCCACCAAGCCUAAGAUCCGUACCGGCUGUGAGAGCAGGAGCCGGGAGAAGGGGACUGAGACAAGGCCCCUAGCCCUACGGGGUGCAGCAGGCGCGAAACCUCCGCAAUGCCCGAAAGGGUGACGGGGGGACUCCGAGUGGCAGCUCUGCUGCCUUUUCCGGAGUUUAAAACGCUCCGGGAAUAAGGGCUGGGCAAGUCCCGUGGCAGCCGCCGCGGUAAUACGGGCAGCUCAAGUGGCGCCCACGCAUAUUGGGCCUAAAGCGUCCGUAGCCGGUCCAGGGGAGUCCCUGGUGAAAUCGGACGGCUUAACCGUUCGGCUUGCCAGGGAAACCACUGGACUAGGGACCGGGAGAGGUCGGAGGUAUUCCCGGGGUAGGGGUGAAAUCCUAUAAUCCCGGGAGGACCUACGGUGGCGAAGGCGUCCCGACUGGAACGGGUCCUGACGGUGAGGGACGAAGGCCAGGGGAGCAAACCGGAUUAGAUACCCGGGUAGUCCUGGCUGUAAAUGAUGCGGACUUGGUGUCGCAUAACCUACNAGGUUAUGCAGGUGCCGGAGGGAAGCCGUUAAGUCCGUCGNCUGGGGAGUACGGNCGCAAGGCUGAAACUUAAAGGAAUNGGCGGGGGAGUACUACNAGGGGNGGAGGCUGCGGUUUAAUCGGAUNCAACGNCGNNCAUCUCACCGGGGGCGACAGCANGAUGAAGGUCCGUCUGAAGGGCUUACCAGACACGCUGAGAGGUGGUGCAUGGACACCAUCAGNUNGUGCCGUGAGGUGUNCUGUUAAGUCAGGCAACUAGCGAGACCCGC
rnacentral:rRNA from 1 species